ACGAACGCUGGCGGCAUGCCUAACACAUGCAAGUCGCACGAGACCUUCGGGUCUAGUGGCGCACGGGUGCGUAACGCGUGGGAACCUGCCCUUAGGUUCGGAAUAACUCCCCGAAAGGGGUGCUAAUACCGGAUAAUGUCUUCGGACCAAAGAUUUAUCGCCUUUGGAUGGGCCCGCGUUGGAUUAGCUAGUUGGUAGGGUAAAAGCCUACCAAGGCGACGAUCCAUAGCUGGUCUGAGAGGAUGAUCAGCUACACUGGGACUGAGACACGGCCCAGACUCCUACGGGAGGCAGCAGUGGGGAAUAUUGGACAAUGGGCGAAAGCCUGAUCCAGCAAUGCCGCGUGAGUGAUGAAGGCCUUAGGGUUGUAAAGCUCUUUUACCCGGGAUGAUAAUGACAGUACCGGGAGAAUAAGCGCCGGCUAACUCCGUG
rnacentral:rRNA from 1 species